rnacentral:rRNA from 1 species
GGCUGAACGCUGGCGGCGUGCCUAAUACAUGCAAGUCGAGCGAACAGACGAGGAGCUUGCUCCUCUGACGUUAGCGGCGGACGGGUGAGUAACACGUGGAUAACCUACCUAUAAGACUGGGAUAACUUCGGGAAACCGGAGCUAAUACCGGAUAAUAUAUUGAACCGCAUGGUUCAAUAGUGAAAGACGGUUUUGCUGUCACUUAUAGAUGGAUCCGCGCCGCAUUAGCUAGUUGGUAAGGUAACGGCUUACCAAGGCGACGAUGCGUAGCCGACCUGAGAGGGUGAUCGGCCACACUGGAACUGAGACACGGUCCAGACUCCUACGGGAGGCAGCAGUAGGGAAUCUUCCGCAAUGGGCGAAAGCCUGACGGAGCAACGCCGCGUGAGUGAUGAAGGUCUUCGGAUCGUAAAACUCUGUUAUUAGGGAAGAACAAAUGUGUAAGUAACUAUGCACGUCUUGACGGUACCUAAUCAGAAAGCCACGGCUAACUACGUG